AUACUUACCUGGACGGGGUCAAUGGGCGAUCAAGAUGGCCUAUGGCCUAGGCUGGUGACCUCCAUUGCACAUUGGAGGGGUGCCUGCCUAAGGUUGGCCCAAGUGGCUGAGUUUGCGCGGCCC
rnacentral:snRNA from 1 species